AUGUGGUCCCAUCAAUGUUGGCUGUCGAAUUUGUGCUGCAGUCCAUGCCCACCAUGUCCGAGUCUUCGCCCCUUCGUCAUCCAACACAAACAGCAGAACAGAGUAGAAGUUGUGAUUUGCCAGGUUGGAGAACUGACGCAGCUUGCUGUCACGGAGUGCUCGCCCUUCUUCUGUGCCAUAAAGCCCCUCGGUCGAAACUUGCAAAUCAAAAUUGCCGACCCUGUCAAUCUCGCUGGAACGACGUCUAGCUCGUUGUGCUCCACUCACUCUAUGAACAAGUGCUUCAGUUAUGCUGGUGGCAAUACAUUGCUUGAGGUGACCUCGUGUGCAAGAUUAUCCCCAUGGAGGGCGCUGGCACGGAGACAUUUGCUCACAUCAGUACUAAUGUAUGCAUUAUUUUUUUACUUGAAGAUUAUAGGAUUAUAA
rnacentral:rRNA from 1 species